UACGUAGGGCGCAAGCGUUAUCCGGAAUUAUUGGGCGUAAAGAGCUCGUAGGCGGUUUGUCGCGUCUGCUGUGAAAACGCGAGGCUCAACCUCGCGCCUGCAGUGGGUACGGGCAGACUAGAGUGCGGUAGGGGAGAUUGGAAUUCCUGGUGUAGCGGUGGAAUGCGCAGAUAUCAGGAGGAACACCGAUGGCGAAGGCAGAUCUCUGGGCCGUAACUGACGCUGAGGAGCGAAAGCGUGGGGAGCGAACAGG
rnacentral:rRNA from 1 species